rnacentral:rRNA from 1 species
AACGAACGCUGGCGGCAGGCUUAACACAUGCAAGUCGAACGCAUCCUUCGGGGUGAGUGGCAGACGGGUGAGUAACGCGUGGGAACGUGCCCUUCAGUUCGGGAUAACCCAGGGAAACUUGGGCUAAUACCGGAUACGUGCGAGAGCAGAAAGAUUUAUCGCUGAAGGAUCGGCCCGCGUCUGAUUAGCUAGUUGGUGGGGUAAUGGCCCACCAAGGCGACGAUCAGUAGCUGGUCUGAGAGGAUGAUCAGCCACAUUGGGACUGAGACACGGCCCAAACUCCUACGGGAGGCAGCAGUGGGGAAUAUUGGACAAUGGGCGCAAGCCUGAUCCAGCCAUGCCGCGUGAGUGAUGAAGGCCUUAGGGUUGUAAAGCUCUUUCGUCCGGGACGAUAAUGACGGUACCCACAGAAUAAGCUCCGGCUAACUUCGUGCCAGCCGCCGCCGUAA